UUUGGGGGGCCAUCACUGGGCAAUGGCGUGGCCUAGGCUAAGACUCGAUGAAGUUUCCCAGGUGGAAGAUGUAGAAUUGACGGGCUCCCACUUUCACUGGAAAAUGCUCUGUGGACAGAGCAGCAUUACCUCAGAUCUGCAUUCUCUCCCAGCUUUACAGGUCGGGGGCGAUAUGACCUCCUCAACUGCCCCACCGUCCAGGCUUGAAAAACAAAACUUGAACAAAGAGGAUCCACUAGCGUGUGAUGGAAGAAGGAGGCACAUCAGAGCAGGGUCUGUCCAUUACAAUUCAAGUUAUCCAGAUCCCAUUUGGUCCUUCGGGAAGCUGAGGGUGAGCCAGUGGGGAGAAGUCACUGGAGAGACUGAGAUGGGGAGAGGAGGACGUUUGGUAUCCAUGAAGCCUUGGGGAAAUGAUGCAAAGACCCACAAUCCUAUAAAAAUACUGGAAUAUUCAUUUCAGUGACUAUCGA